rnacentral:rRNA from 1 species
AGAGUUUGAUCAUGGCUCAGAUUGAACGCUGGCGGCAGGCCUAACACAUGCAAGUCGAGCGGUAGCACAGAGAGCUUGCUCUCGGGUGACGAGCGGCGGACGGGUGAGUAAUGUCUGGGAAACUGCCUGAUGGAGGGGGAUAACUACUGGAAACGGUAGCUAAUACCGCAUAACGUCGCAAGACCAAAGUGGGGGACCUUCGGGCCUCAUGCCAUCAGAUGUGCCCAGAUGGGAUUAGCUAGUAGGUGGGGUAACGGCUCACCUAGGCGACGAUCCCUAGCUGGUCUGAGAGGAUGACCAGCCACACUGGAACUGAGACACGGUCCAGACUCCUACGGGAGGCAGCAGUGGGGAAUAUUGCACAAUGGGCGCAAGCCUGAUGCAGCCAUGCCGCGUGUGUGAAGAAGGCCUUCGGGUUGUAAAGCACUUUCAGCGGGGAGGAAGGCGUUAAGGUUAAUAACCUCAUCGAUUGACGUUACCCGCAGAAGAAGCACCGGCUAACUCCGUGCCAGCAGCCGCGGUAAUACGGAGGGUGCAAGCGUUAAUCGGAAUUACUGGGCGUAAAGCGCACGCAGGCGGUCUGUCAAGUCGGAUGUGAAAUCCCCGGGCUUAACCUGGGAACUGCAUUCGAAACUGGCAGGCUAGAGUCUUGUAGAGGGGGGUAGAAUUCCAGGUGUAGCGGUGAAAUGCGUAGAGAUCUGGAGGAAUACCGGUGGCGAAGGCGGCCCCCUGGACAAAGACUGACGCUCAGGUGCGAAAGCGUGGGGAGCAAACAGGAUUAGAUACCCUGGUAGUCCACGCCGUAAACGAUGUCGAUUUGGAGGUUGUGCCCUUGAGGCGUGGCUUCCGGAGCUAACGCGUUAAAUCGACCGCCUGGGGAGUACGGCCGCAAGGUUAAAACUCAAAUGAAUUGACGGGGGCCCGCACAAGCGGUGGAGCAUGUGGUUUAAUUCGAUGCAACGCGAAGAACCUUACCUGGUCUUGACAUCCACAGAACUUUCCAGAGAUGGAUUGGUGCCUUCGGGAACUGUGAGACAGGUGCUGCAUGGCUGUCGUCAGCUCGUGUUGUGAAAUGUUGGGUUAAGUCCCGCAACGAGCGCAACCCUUAUCCUUUGUUGCCAGCGGUUCGGCCGGGAACUCAAAGGAGACUGCCAGUGAUAAACUGGAGGAAGGUGGGGAUGACGUCAAGUCAUCAUGGCCCUUACGACCAGGGCUACACACGUGCUACAAUGGCAUAUACAAAGAGAAGCGACCUCGCGAGAGCAAGCGGACCUCAUAAAGUAUGUCGUAGUCCGGAUUGGAGUCUGCAACUCGACUCCAUGAAGUCGGAAUCGCUAGUAAUCGUAGAUCAGAAUGCUACGGUGAAUACGUUCCCGGGCCUUGUACACACCGCCCGUCACACCAUGGGAGUGGGUUGCAAAAGAAGUAGGUAGCUUAACCUUCGGGAGGGCGCUUACCACUUUGUGAUUCAUGACUGGGGUGAAGUCGUAACAAGGUAACCGUAGGGGAACCUGCGGUUGGAUCACCU